rnacentral:lncRNA from 1 species
AAUUCUAUGAGGGUCAGAUAGGGAGAAACUAAUGUUUUUCUUGUUACUUCUUGUUCUUGUUUUCUUUGUUUUGCUCGAGGACUAGCAAAAGUUAAGUGUGGGGGUAUUUGAUCGGAUGAUAUUUAUAUAUAUUUUACUUCAAAUUCACUCGUCUUUUCUUAGUUAGUUCCUUAUAUUUUUGAGUUAUUUACGUUAUUUUUGUGUUUAUAGGAUUUGUUAUGCAAAGAAAAUAAAAAUAGAACAAGUGAAAUUUUAUGUAAUAAAUUCGUCAAAACUGUCUGUGUAGAUCAGCUUUUAAAUUAAAUUAAAAAAAAAUAUAAUAAUGAUAAGUCAUGAUGAUGUUUGAAACAUCAUCAUGAUGGUUUUGUUUUGUAGAAGAAAAGAAAGGAACAAACGGCAAAGAAGAAAAGAAAGAAGGAAUAAAGAAGAAAAGAAUAAAAAAAUAAACAAAAGAUUGAAGAAAGGCAUAAAAGCAAGAAAAGAAGAAUAAGAAGAAGUGGAUGGUGCACUGGCGGGGGGAGACUGACAGAAAAGAAAAGAAUAAGCAGAAACCUAGUGGGGGAAGCUUAGCUGCCCUUGCAGCCUUGAAAAACGAAAAGCAGAAAAUAAAAGGGAAGUCAGUACGGGACAGCAAAGGCAGGUGGGAGAAGAAAGGCUGCCCUUGGCAGCGUGAUAAAGGCAGGAGGGCAGGCUGUCGAGGGGGGAGCGGAAAAGACGGAAGAAAAAUAAAGAAGCAGCUGAGCUGCCUUGCGGUGUGGAGACUGGGAGGAGAAAAGAGAAAAGCAGCAAGGCUGCCAGAAGGAAAGGAGAAGAUGCGGGGAGAGAGUAGCAUGUGAAAAGAAGAGGACAGGGCGCCAGGGAGCAUGUGAGAGGACAGCAGUGGGCUGUCUUGGCAGCCCAGAGGAGUGACUCGGAAGGAGAAAACGUGAGCUGGAGAAGGGGUCAGGAGGAGAAUAAAAGGAGAAGUGGGAGGCUGCUUUGAGGGGGAAUUGGUGGAAGGCAGAGGGCUGCCCUUUGGGCAGCGUGAAGCUGCGGAGAGAAGGGAAGGGGGAAGCUGCCCUUUGGCAGCGAGGUCAGAUAGCGCAGGAAAAGAGAGGUCAGGAGGUCAGCUCGCAGAGGCAGGAGAGGAGAUAGACACGGGGAGAAGGGAGACUGACGGGCACAGUGAGAAGAAAAUUAGAGGCUUCACUCCAUUUCUCUCGGUUUAAUUUUUCCAAACUUCUCAUUUAUUUCUGUUUUUAAUAAUGUGUAAUUAAAUUUAUGUUGGUUAGAGGUUAAUUCGAAACCAUGAUUAUAUUUGUAAUAUGAAUUGAUUACCUUCAGUUGUGAGUUAUAAGUUGUGAAUUCAAUUUACUUAUCCGUUCGUAUAAAAACUGAUUUGUGUAUGUU